CCCCGCUCCACGCCCCCUGCCAGCCCCCUUCCGCCCUAGAGCUUCAGUCCUGGCCCCGGGCCCAAUCUCCCGCGCGGGGAACGGUUUGGUAGGGAGGAAGCGUGUGGAUUCCGGGUCGCCUCUGGGCGAUUCCGCCGCAUGUCCCAUACUGUCCCUCCCCCAGCCCGUAGCCUUUCUGUAGUCCCGUUGUUCGAGGAUUCCCAUUUCAGCUCUCUGUCGGACAGCCCCUGGAGGUUUUGCAGGCACCUCCCGCCAACGCGGCCAACUCGCAACUCGACAUCCCCCAAACAGCCGCUUUCCUCCUGCGUGCUCGGUUCGGAAGUGGAUACCACCAUCCACUCAGGUGUGCCCAUACCGGAAACGUGAGAGGAGAGUUUUAAGCAGGAGAGAGACAUAUCAGACUUGCACUUCAAAAAGAUCAUUCUUACUGCAGAGAAUGGUCUGAGGGGGCAAAGGAGAGAGUACAAGAAGGCUGUUGAGAAGGUGAUCUCACUAACUCAGGUGAAACAUGAUGGUGCCUUGCGGGAGGGCGAUGGUGAGGAUGGUGAGGAUGGAGGUGAACAGAAGGGGACGGGGUGGACGUGGGGGUGAAAGGACGGAAAGGAGCCAAGGGUGACCCCAAGGUUUCUGGCUUGAGCAAGAGGGGGAGGAGCAGCAGGCUUGGUGAGGAGGAAAAUUAGUUCGAUUUUGGAUGUAGUGCUUAGUUUGAGGAGCUGUUAGGACGUCCAUGUGAAAAUGCUUUCUAGGCACUAUGUGGGAGCCAGAGCCAGAAGGAGAGCUGGAGACGUUGACACAAAGAAAACCAUGAUUGGCGCCUCUGCUGAGUGUGGGACAGGAAGAGUUAACAUGCUGACAGAUGGCAUUUUUUACCUUCAGUCAAUAUGAACAAGGCCCCAAGACUAUGAUUCCAAACAUCUGGAUUUCAUCAAUAUGUGAUCUGUCAUCGUAUAUUGGCAUUCCCCAGUCCCCGCGCCAGAGCAAUGCAGCUGGUUUUAUUAAUACGUCAAAUACAUUAUCCGUGUAAUACACUUGUCUGGCUGGGGCCUCCCGCUGGGGCGGGGCGGCGGAUUUGAAUGUAUGAUGAAUCAGUUUGCAUUACAUGUUCGUAAGUCAUCAUUUGUCAGGAUUAAUAGGCAUCCCUGGUCGAGGAGGUGGGGGUGGGGCAGCCAGAGGAGAGAUGUGCAUUUAGCGAUGGCCCAUAUUUAUCUGCCAGUACCCGGGGAUGCCCUGAAAACAACCUUGUACCCUCCUGCCUGGACCCCAGGGCAGUGGCUGGUGCUCAGGGGGAGGGUGACAUUCUUAGCAGUUCCUGAGUCACUUGGAACCAAAUAGGCCUCUCUGUCUCUGCUUUGGGCUUGCCAACCAGCCAAAAACGAUAUGGGAAUGGUCAUUGGCACAAGCUGGCUAACUCUUACUCUCACUCUGAAGGACUCAGAAUUCCUUCUUCCAUGGAGCCUUCCCUGACUCCCCCCAGACCAUACUAGGUGCCUUCUCUGUGUUCCCAUAGCCUCUUGUGCCAGCUCCAGUGUCACAGUGUUACAAUUGUCUAUUCUGUGUCUGUCACCCACUUUAGACUGGAAAUUUCUUGACGGUAAGGAUUAACUUGUUUACUGCUAUGGCUCCAGCAUCAAGGAGAGGACAUAGCCCCAAGUAAGAGAAUAGUAAUAGUAAUAAUAGAAACCAAUGAUAUUCUUUGAAUGAGUGAAUGAAUACCCGACGGUCGACCUUGCUCAGCUCUCCGAAGGAUGCAGACGUUAGCUGGUAGACAUCGUGGGAGUUUUCUCUGACUUCUCGCCUCCACCCUGACCCUUAUCUAGGGUCCGGUCUAGUCAUGUACCCCACUAUGUGUGCCUUUUCCUUCCUUUGCUCCUCUUCCUUCCAAGAGACGGAGCAGACCCCUCACACAGCACCAGUUCCUCACAUGUGGCAUUUAUACACAGAUACGACACACAGGGUGACACAUUUAUGCCCGCAUGCCAUCUUCCCUUCUCCCACCUCUGCCUGCAAAAGCUCCGAUUGGCACUGCCUACGCCACAUGGCCUCCUCCCAGCUCUGGGUCCUUAUGAAACAAGAGCCUGGCUGGUGCCCUGACCCCUACGGUGAUGGAUGCUAUUUACCGUCGCAAGCAGUAGAGGGGGCCUGGAUUGAGCCAUGCAUGUCUCCUGGGUGGCCAAUGGCAAACUUAUGCAGGACAUCCAGGUGGAGGUCAGCCUGUGGACAGCUGUGGGCUCAGACUUGGGCUCGAACUGGAGCUAAGGGCUCUGGGCCAAUACAUGAUCAAGUUCACCGAGUCUGGGGCCUGGAACCCCAACUGUUGGCCCCAUGAGCCUUUGCUCCAUCGAGUGGAGCAGCCAACCUGUUUAGAGACUGGUGGGACUUCCGGGGUCUCAGCUAUUUCAUACCCCCGACCUCGGCUGUCCCCAGCACAACUGCGGCCUCCCUCCUGUUCUGGAGCUACAAUUCUGUUCCUCCUCCUUCCUUAGCUAGUAACUUCCAGACGGCGCCCUGGGCUGGGCCGGCCAGGGGCGGGUGGGGCAGAUGCAGCCUCUCGGGGUUCCCUGGGAUUAGCCCUUCAGAAAAGGGCCCAAUUCAGGAAAAUCUCCAUAUGUGGAUGUGCACACCUAUCCUCUCGAGGUGUGUGCAUGUGGGGGGCACUGGCACGCCCCGGUAGGUGCUCACACACAUCCGAUAAACACACCAGAGCACCUCUGCCUAUAUGUGAGUGUAGACGGAGGGUACCUGUAUACUCUUCCCCAGUGCCUUCCCUGCCACGGAGCCAAAAUGCUAGGACUGUACUGUUUCAAGUCAAGUCAAUCCAAGUGUGCUUUACCCCCUGCUGGCUCUGACGCUGGGCUUAUAAAAAUGAAGUGGGACCUCUGCAGCUGUGGGCAAUAAAUCCUGAACCACCGAGGAGGGCACAUUACCUGCUUUCUGGGCUGAUGGGUGGGACUAGGGGCACUGAUUACAAGUGCCUGCGGGGCUGGGUGGGCAGCAGGCCAGCUCCUCGGCCUCAGGCCCUGCCUGCUAGCCCAGCCCAGGCCAGCUGUCUCCCGCAGACCUGCAGGGUCAGGAGACCCCCAGCCCUAGGCGCUGGGCAAGGACCAAGAGAGCAGCAGAGAGAAGUAGGGCAGGAGGGGGCUGGGGUGGGGAGAGAGAGCAAGACAGGCACGUGCUGCUAAGGCUGAGGGGAGCCCUCGCAUCUGGAGAUCAAUUAGCAUCAAUUACUGACUUCAUUUAAUUGUCGUCCAAGAUGAAUUUGUCAUUUUUAGCUGGGAAUUAAUGGGAGACCUUCACCUCUCCCUGGCAGCAGCCGCGGAGCCAACAGCGGUCACCUCAGUCUCCUAGGAGCCCUGAAUCCUGCUUGGGGCCCAGGCCAGGCGGGGCAGGCAGCUAGCGGGGCUUCUGGUCCCCCGGCAAGCUCUCGCCUGUCCCAGGCCCAACCAGCCUGGCCCACUAGCCCAGGGCCAAGGUGGGGGCCGUGGGUCCCGCAGAGCAGUCCUUUGCAGCCUCUGGCUUCAGCCAGAAAUUAAUUUGCUGGGCUGAGCAUGUUUACCUUUUCCCAGCAAAGGCGAGACAGUAAACAGCGGACCGGCGGCUGAAAUUGAAUUGAUAACUGCAUCAACGUGCCAGAUAACGCCUAAAAUAAUACGCCGAUAAGGAAAUUCGAUUUGAUUUGCCGCUGCGCAUCAGACUGGCCCCAUCUGUAGCUGCCUGUAAUCAUUUUCAAUUGCGUUGGGAAACCUUAUUUGUCCUUAAAUAUUUCUGUCAUUUUUCAUUGCUGGCGACAGAUCCUUGGGCAGGUGGCAGGGGUGCGCUGCCUCUGUGGGCGCGGGGCAGCGGCCCGAGGAGGAGGGGUGGUGAGGACUCUCAGGAAAGGAGGCAGGGAGCAGGCAGCCGGGCGGUGACAGCUGUUCCUCCAAUCAAUCACGCUGUCGACAGGGAGGGACGACUGGCUGGCAGAAAUUGAGUUUGCCUCACAGGGGACGAUUGAGCAAAUUAAUAGCCCAUUAGCCAAGCAGUGACCUGAGAAAUGAAGGUGCAGGGGUUCCUGCUCACUCAGGCCGGCUGGGGUGGGGCAGGGCAGGGGAGAGUCUGGGGAGGAGGUGGGGGAACAUGGGGAACACACGCAUGCGAGGUGGGGUGGGAAGCUGUUGGUGCAGGAGGAGAGAUGUCAAGUUGGGGGAGGUGGGCUGGAGAGGCGGACAGCCCUAGGAGAGAUGCUGGGGAAGGGGGGGCGGGGUGGCGCCACUGAUGGCUCUUUACCAUCUUCCCAUCAUGCCCUUCGGGACUGAGUUCCGUGCCAGUAAACUCUCCUUCCUUGGUGCCUAGAUACUUCCUUUACUUCCUCUCAUCACUUUCCUGGAAACUGGCACCUGCCCUGGAGACACCACUCCCUGGAGUCCUCACCACUGCCAGCUCUUUAUUCUCCCAACUCUGGGUUCCUUGGGCUGGGCCGGGGUGGGGUCAGUGUCUUCCUUGUGCUCACUGCCACUUGCAGCCCACCGUUACUUUACUCUGUGGGCUCUGAGGUCAAGUUCUCCCCCUGCCCCUGCAUCCCUCAUCACUGGUGUCCCCCAUUCUCCAUAGUCCUCCAGGACUCUGACGCUCACUUGUCUACCCCAAGCCCCAUCACUGACCUCCUCAGUGGCUGUUCUUUUUCCCUGGACUCACUUCCUCCUGGAGGACCUGGUCACCAGCCUGAAUGGCUGUGAUAGAACUCCCUCUCCCCCUGACCCUCCUAUGCCUUGCACCCAUCAUACUGGCUUCUCCUUCUAUCCUCCCAUCUCCUGGGCCACCACUGACUCACGGAUUCUAGGCCGAGUCCUAGGGCCCAUCACUGCAACACCCUCUCGCUGUUUCUGCCUCCUCCACCAUCCAACUAUUCUCCUUUUUGUGUCACACACACAGGCGGCUAAACGCAGCUGGGGAAAAUCACAAAACCAUGCAGAUAUGUGCCAGUAAAAAUUCACAGUUUCCAAUCUCAGCACUACUAAGCAAUCCCUUAACAUGCCCUUGGUCAGCUCUGUCUUCCUUUUCCCACAGAGACAAUCCAAUAAUAUUUUACUAUCUGGAGUCCCCCACCCUAUCUUCUGUCCCCCUCUCUCUUACUAGGUGGCCUUGCUUCCCAUUUUGCUCAGAAAUCUGAAGUCCGGGGUGCCUGGGUGGCUCAGUCAUUAAGCGUCUGCCUUC